rnacentral:rRNA from 1 species
GGACCCGCACAAGCGGUGGAGUAUGUGGCUUAAUUCGAUGCAACGCGAAGAACCUUACCUAGGCUUGACAUGCUUGUCGUACUCUCCCGAAAAGGAGAGGUCACUUCGGGUGGACAAUGCACAGGUGCUGCAUGGCCGUCGUCAGCUCGUGUCGUGAGAUGUUUGGUUAAGUCCAGCAACGAGCGCAACCCCUGUGAACUGUUGCCAGCGCGUAAAGGCGGGGACUCUGUUCAGACUGCCCAGAUCAACUGGGAGGAAGGUGGGGACGACGUCAGGUCAGUAUGGCCCUUACGCCUAGGGCUGCACACGUACUACAAUGCCCAGCACAAUGAGAACCGAGACCGCAAGGUGGAGGAAAUCUGCAAAACUGGGCCCAGUUCGGAUUGGAGGCUGCAACUCGCCUCCAUGAAGUCGGAAUC